AUUGAACGCUGGCGGCAGGCCUAACACAUGCAAGUCGAACGAGUGGCGGAUGGGUGAGUAAUGUCUGGGAAACUGCCUGAUGGAGGGGGAUAACUACUGGAAACGGUCGCUAAUACCGCAUACCAUCGGAUGUGCCCAGAUGGGAUUAGCUAGUAGGUGUGGUAACGGCUUACCUAGGCGACGAUCCCUAGCUGGUCGGAGAGGAUGACCAGCAACACGGGAACUGAGACACGGUCCAGACUCCUACGGUAGGCAGCAGUGGGGAAUAUUGCACAAUGGGCGCAAGCCUGAUGCAGCCAUGCCGCGUGUAUGAAGAAGGCCUUCGGGUUGUAAAGUACUUUCAGCGGGGAGGCGUUACCCGCAGAAGAAGCACCGGCUAACUCCGUGCCAGCAACCGCGGUAAUAC
rnacentral:rRNA from 1 species